UUUAGUGAUGACCCAUUGGUCAAAACUAGUUACUUAUCCCUCUCUGACUGCAAGGGUACUAAGCACACCGGGAGCCAGUAGAACAAGCCAAGCAUGGAGUGAACCAACGGACUAGGGGGCUGAGCAUGGAGGGUGUCUAAUAGACUAUUGGAUAUCUACCCAGAAGUGAGAAUGUUGAAUCAUAUGGUAAUUCUAUUCUUAAUUUUUUGAGGAAUCUUCAGACUGUUUUCCAUAGUGGCUGAACCAAUUUUUAUUCUUACCAACAGUGCACCAGGGAUCCCAUUUCUCCACACUCUUGCCCACACUUGUCAUCUCUUGUCGUUUUGAUGAUAGCUAUUCUAAAAGGUGUGAGGUGGUACCUCAUUGUGGUUUUG